rnacentral:misc_RNA from 1 species
AAGGAACAUGAGUGCUUGGUUGAGGGUCCCUUGAAUAAUUUGAAACAAAGCAUGAUUCAAUUUCAGAAGCCUAAGAAGAUAUACAAUGAUCGGCGUCUUUUCUUUGCUGGUGGACCUGGAGUUGUGCCAAAUGAUAAUUUUGGACCUGUUGCCCCAUCUGGCCCUAAUGCUGAUAGAAGAAGUAGUCGGGGUAGAGGUUCGUACUUCCCUCCUCACCUGCCGAAUGGUGCCCAGAAGCCUGGAGUGCAUGCAUCUGGUUAUCCUAUGCCUCGAGUUCCCCUCCCCUCAUUUCAUGGUGG